rnacentral:tRNA from 1 species
GCGAGUAUAAAGGAAUUGGUAGACUUUAUAGCCUUCCAAGCUAAAAAUUACGGGUUCGAGUCCCGUUACUCGCU